GGGGUGCUCGAGUGGCGAACGGGUGAGUAACACGUGAGUAACCUGCCCUUGACUUUGGGAUAACUUCAGGAAACUGGGGCUAAUACCGGAUAGGAGCUCCUGCUGCAUGGUGGGGGUUGGAAAGUUUCGGCGGUUGGGGAUGGACUCGCGGCUUAUCAGCUUGUUGGUGGGGUAGUGGCUUACCAAGGCUUCGACGGGUAGCCGGCCUGAGAGGGUGACCGGCCACAUUGGGACUGAGAUACGGCCCAG
rnacentral:rRNA from 1 species